rnacentral:rRNA from 1 species
UGGGGAAUAUUGGACAAUGGGCGAAAGCCUGAUCCAGCAAUGCCGCGUGUGCGAUGAAGGCCUUCGGGUUGUAAAGCACUUUCAGUAGUGAGGAAAGAUACGGUAUUAAUACCACCAGUAUUCUGACGUUAGCUACAGAAGAAGCACCGGCUAACUCUGUGCCAGCAGCCGCGGUAAUACAGAGGGUGCAAGCGUUAAUCGGAAUUACUGGGCGUAAAGAGCGUGUAGGCGGAUAAUUAAGUCAGAUGUGAAAUCCUUGGGCUCAACCUAAGAACUGCAUUUGAUACUGAUUAACUUGAGUAUGGUAGAGGAAAGUAGAAUUUCCGGUGUAGCGGUGGAAUGCGUAGAUA